rnacentral:lncRNA from 1 species
AGCUGGACAUGGUGAGUAUGUGUCUUCAGGAACUGGUCCAGGAGGGCGAUGGGAUGGGGAGGCCAUCCGGAUAGCUGCGCAAACAAGGGAACCAAGAGGAGCCCUCCUGUGAUUAUAUCACCGGAAGAAAUUUGGAGGAUGAAAUAGAAAAGAAAACAGCAGCAGUAGGGGUAGGGAAAAGCUAAUUUCAGGAUUCCAUGAGGGUCUCUAUAAAUAAUUGAGAGGAAGAAACAGGUUAAACUGAAAACAAAUGCAGCAUACAAAAGUAUCGGUAUUAUUCUACUGCAAGGGAAAUGUUUAAAUACGACCGAGUCCUUGGAACGUAACCAGAGGUCUCCUGUUUUCUCCUGAGCUAUUCACAAUAAAUGGCCCCUGUGACUGCAACACGCCAAUUAAACAGUUUGUUUCUGCUUCAACCUUAAUUUGGCAGACAGCUCUGUUGUAAAUCUGCAUACCGG